AGACCCGAAACCCGGUGAUCUAGCCAUGGGCAGGUUGAAGGUUGGGUAACACUAACUGGAGGACCGAACCGACUAAUGUUGAAAAAUUAGCGGAUGACCUGUGGCUGGGGGUGAAAGGCCAAUCAAACCGGGAGAUAGCUGGUUCUCCCCGAAAGCUAUUUAGGUAGCGCCUCGUGAAUUCAUCUCCGGGGGUAGAGCACUGUUUCGGCUAGGGGGCCAUCCCGGCUUACCAACCCGAUGCAAACUGCGAAUACCGGAGAAUGUUAUCACGGGAGACACACGGCGGGUGCUAACGUCCGUCGUGAAGAGGGAAACAACCCAGACCGCCAGCUAAGGUCCCAAAGUCAUGGUUAAGUGGGAAACGAUGUGGGAAGGCCCAGACAGCCAGGAUGUUGGCUUAGAAGCAGCCAUCAUUUAAAGAAAGCGUAAUAGCUCACUGGUCGAGUCGGCCUGCGCGGAAGAUGUAACGGGGCUAAACCAUGCACCGAAGCUGCGGCAGCGACACUGUGUGUUGUUGGGUAGGGGAGCGUUCUGUAAGCCGUUGAAGGUGGCCUGUGAGGGUUACUGGAGGUAUC
rnacentral:rRNA from 1 species